CAGCCGCCGCGGUAAUACGUAGGUGGCAAGCGUUGUCCGGAAUUAUUGGGCGUAAAGCGCGCGCAGGCGGAUCAGUCAGUCUGUCUUAAAAGUUCGGGGCUUAACCCCGUGAUGGGAUGGAAACUGCUGAUCUAGAGUAUCGGAGAGGGAAGUGGAAUUCCUAGUGUAGCGGUGAAAUGCGUAGAUAUUAGGAAGAACACCAGUGGCGAAGGCGACUCUCUGGACGAAAACUGACGCUGAGGCGCGAAAGCCAGGGGAGCGAACGGGAUUAGAUACCCCCGUAGUCCCUGUCUCUUAUACA
rnacentral:rRNA from 1 species